GUUAAAUCUCGUAGUAAUCAAUAUAGCAGAAGAAUAAUGAAGAGUACAUACUACAAAAACUGUGCAAUUUGUAGCAAGAUUAAUUUUUGUUUAACAGCUGUUUUUAUUACAUUUUAUUUCGUAUUAUUACUACCAAAUACUGCUACCGUUUGUUAAUGUUAUGCACAUGGUUAUCUUGUACUUGCAAGUAAAUGUAACAUUUAAAAAAAAAAAUAAUGAAAAAAUAAGUCAUUUAGGCUAUUUGAUAAUAACAUGCUAAAUGAACAUGUUUUGCUUUUUAAUUCUCCUUCACUCAGUCUUUGUAUAAUGUAUAUUUUUAGACGAGCUGAUCGCCAACCAGGAGAUCAGAAUGAUCGCAUCUGCUCCUGCCACUUUAAGGAUGGUAAGAAGGAGGGGGACCCUGCAUAUUUUGCAUGGAAUGAAGGAAAGGCCAUGGAUUUCUCUGAUCCUGAAUUUACAAAAAGGAGGAAAAAACUCAAAAGUGAGGAGUCCCUGUCAUCUUAAGAUGGACCAGUUGCAGAUUCCACAAGCACCAAAAUGUCAAUAUCAAGAAAAAUUGAUAUCAGAGCACAACUACUCAGCAUCCUGCACAUUUAACUGUACUCAAGAAAUGCAGCGCCUCUCAACAGAAAUACAAACUGGAAAAGGAAUUGCUUGCCCUAAAAAUAGAGUCUAGUAAAAGGAAGCCAAUAUCAAUCCACGAUAUUAAAUACAACGAAGAGAAGUGUUAGGUAUCUGAUCAGCAGGGGCAUUUUCUCUAUAUAAGAAGAAAAUGGAGACUCCCUACCCACCUGAUGUAUUUUGUCGGACAGUUUUCUGUACAUUGCAGUCACCAAUAUAUCCAAAUAUCAUCACCGGCCCAGACGUCAUUCACUCCUUUGAAUUGUGCUGGUAGCAGUAAGGUGUCAUCAUUUGAGAUGGUCACAGUAUCCAAUACACUGAAGUCACAGGACUCAAAUUUCAUACAUGUUCACAGGGUCUCUGCCAAAAUCUUUUGAGGAUUUUUCCUCUGCUAGAGCAUCCAUGGAUGCAAUUGAAACAACCCAGGACAUCCCAACACAUAUGGAUAAUCAGGCCAUGGCCUACAGUACAUGUAUGUACAAAAGUUGCCAUACUUUUAAAGCAGUAACUUGCAUGCUUCCAAAUGGUGCACUUACAUUUUGCUCCAUGCUGUACCCAGGUUCUACUUCUGAUGUAGCUAUUGUACGUCACAGCCAAGUUUUACGAAAGUUCAAAGCUGGAGACCUUAUUUUGGUGGUCAAAGGUUUCACCAUUCAUGACCAGUUGCCCCAGGGUGUCUGCUUAAUUAUAAAAGCUCUUUUAUCGACACGAGGCCAGUUUACCAUACAAGAAGCAGCACUGUGUUACAAGAUUGCUAAAGCACUUAUUCAUGUGGAAAGAGCCAACGAGAGGAUAAAGAAUUACGAGAUUCUCCGUCACAUACCAUCUACUUACAGACCAAUCUCAACAAAAAUAUUUCAACUCUGUUCUUUGUCUUGUAAACUUGCAAGCUCCACUUUUGAAAGAAAUUACUUAAAGAUACAUGUACUUAUUAUAAAUUUGCAUUGGAGUGUGACAGUAUACACUAAACAGUGAAGAUAUUCAUACCAAAGUGCAAGGAAUAAGCAAAUUUUGAUUUGUUAUCAAUGUCAAUGGUUAUAUUUGUUAACUUUGUAGUAUGUUGUAAUACAUGUACUUCAGAAAAUGAAAAUCCCUUUUGUUAGCAUGGAUUUAUUACAAGAAUGUUUGGCAAUUCCAUUCUUCAUUUGACAAUAUAAUUUGGAAGAGGGUUUACUUAUAAUCUCUAGUUUAAAGUAUAUUUACCUUUAAAGCACAACUCAACAAAUUCAUGUUUUCAACAAUUUAUCUAUUAAGAAAGACAAAAAUGUUACAUUUUCACUUUGAGAAUAACAUCUUCAAUUCAUUAAUAAAAUGAUUCUAAAUUUU